rnacentral:rRNA from 1 species
UGCGGCGUCGGUCUACCGACUGCGGUACGACAGGCGCGUCUGCGGGGCUUCUCGCCGGUGCGUGUUUUCCGCCGGUACGUCGCCGUCGGUCCUAAGCGGGUCGGCGGCGCGUCGAGGCGGGCCCUCGCGGCUGUUUACUUUGAACAAAUUAGAGUGCUCAAAGCGGGCUAAUAUUUGCCUGAAUAUUGUGCGCAUGGAAUAAUAGAAUAGGACCUCGGUUCUGUUUUGUUGGCUUUCUGAUACCAGAGGUAAUGAUUAAUAGGGACAACUGGGGGCAUUCGUAUUGCGACGUUAGAGGUGAAAUUCUUGGAUCGUCGCAAGACGGACUAAAGCGAAAGCAUUUGCCAAAGGUGUUUUCAUUAAUCAAGAACGAAAGUUAGAGGUUCGAAGGCGAUUAGAUACCGCUGUAGUUCUAACCAUAAAUGAUGCCAGCCAGCGAUCCGCCGAAGUUUUUAUGUUGAUUCGGUGGGCAGCUCCCGGGAAACCAAAGCUUUC